rnacentral:rRNA from 1 species
UACAGAGGUGGCAAGCGUUGUUCGGAAUUACUGGGCGUAAAGGGCGCGUAGGCGGCCCUCUAAGUCAGACGUGAAAUCCCUCGGCUCAACCGGGGAACUGCGUCUGAGACUGGAAGGCUUGAAUUCGGGAGAGGGAUGUGGAAUUCCAGGUGUAGCGGUGAAAUGCGUAGAUAUCCGGAGGAACACCGGUGGCGAAGGCGGCUUCCUGGACCGACACUGACGCUGAGGCGCGAAAGCUAGGGGAGCAAACGGG